GUGCUUACCUGACAAGGGAGACACUGUGAUCACGAAGGUGGUUCACCCUGGGCGAGGCUCAACCAUUGCACUCCGGCUGUGCUGACCCCUGCGAAUUUCUCAAUAAUUUCUGGUAGUGGGGGACUGUGUUCGCGCUCACCCCUG
rnacentral:snRNA from 1 species